AGUGAACGCUGGCGGUAGGCCUAACACAUGCAAGUCGAACGGCAGCACAGUAAGAGCUUGCUCUUACGGGUGGCGAGUGGCGGACGGGUGAGGAAUACAUCGGAAUCUACUUUUUCGUGGGGGAUAACGUAGGGAAACUUACGCUAAUACCGCAUACGACCUACGGGUGAAAGCAGGGGAUCUUCGGACCUUGCGCGAUUGAAUGAGCCGAUGUUGGAUUAGCUAGUUGGCGAGGUAAAGGCCCACCAAGGCGACGAUCCGUAGCUGGUCUGAGAGGAUGAUCAGCCACACUGGAACUGAGACACGGUCCAGACUCCUACGGGAGGCAGCAGUGGGGAAUAUUGGACAAUGGGCGCAAGCCUGAUCCAGCCAUACCGCGUGGGUGAAGAAGGCCUUCGGGUUGUAAAGCCCUUUUGUUGGGAAAGAAAAGCAGCAGGUUAAUACCCCGCUGUUCUGACGGUACCCAAAGAAUAAGCACCGGCUAACUUCGUG
rnacentral:rRNA from 1 species